rnacentral:tRNA from 1 species
GCGUCAGUCGUCUAACGGCCAGGAUAAAAGCCUUCCAAGCUUUUGAUACGGGUUCGAAUCCCGUCUGACGCA